rnacentral:rRNA from 1 species
GAUGAACGCUGGCGGCGUGCCUAAUACAUGCAAGUCGAGCGAACAGACGAGGAGCUUGCUCCUUUGACGUUAGCGGCGGACGGGUGAGUAACACGUGGAUAACCUACCUAUAAGACUGGGAUAACUUCGGGAAACCGGAGCUAAUACCGGAUAACAUGUUGAACCGCAUGGUUCAAUAGUGAAAGACGGUCUUGCUGUCACUUAUAGAUGGAUCCGCGCCGCAUUAGCUAGUUGGUAAGGUAACGGCUUACCAAGGCAACGAUGCGUAGCCGACCUGAGAGGGGGAUCGGCCACACUGGAACUGAAACACGGUCCCGGCUCCUACGGGAGGGAGCAGUAGGGAAUCUUCCGCAAUGGGGGGAAGCCUGACGGAGCAACGCCGCGUGAGUGAAGGAGGUCUUCGGAUCGUAAAACUCUGUUAUUAGGGAAGAACAAAUGUGUAAGUAACUAUGCACGUCUUGACGGUACCUAAUCAGAAAGCCACGGCUAACUACGUG